rnacentral:rRNA from 1 species
AUUGAACGCUGGCGGCAGGCCUAGCACAUGCAAGUCGAACGAGUGGCGGACGGGUGAGUAAUGUCUGGGAAACUGCCUGAUGGAGGGGGAUAACUACUGGAAACGGUAGCUAAUACCGCAUACCAUCAGAUGUGCCCAGAUGGGAUUAGCUAGUGGGUGGGGUAACGGCGCACCAAGGCGACGAUCCCUAGCUGGUCUGAGAGGAUGACCAGCCACAGUGGAACUGAGAAACGGUCCAGACGCCUACGGGAGGCAGCAGUGGGGAAUAGUGCACAAUGGGCGCAAGCCUUAUGCAGCCAUGCCGCGUGGAGGAAGAAGGCCUUCGGGUGGUAAAGUACUUUCAGCGGGGAGGCGUUACCCGCAGAAGAAGCACCGGCUAACUCCGUGCCAGCAGCCGCGGUAAGAC